CCGUUUAGAAUGUAAAAAAAAUGAAAUCAAAUUAUAAUCGGAAAUAAAACGUUUUAUCUUAAGUUAAUAUAUUGGUCAGCAUGUCAAUUUGAAUCUAUAGUCAAUUGUAUCGGCACUGUCUGCCAAAAACACCCAAAACAAACUAAGCUAAGCUAUUCGAGAUUCAAGACGUACGUUCAAAAUUGACUCUAACAAUGUUUCAAGAGUUUGCAAACACUCAAUAUCAGGACAAAUGUACUCUGAUUAUUUUCUUCAUCCCAGGAAUAUUUCCUGAAAGUUCUUGAACCUGCGCUAAAAUAGUCAUAGUUUAAACCGGGCACAGAUAAAAAAAAAAAAAAAAGAAAAGAAAAAAAAGAAAAAACAAAUAUCUGAUUAGUUAAGCCUUUUCAAAUGAUUUUCAUAGUAUGUUCUUAUUGUUAUCUAGACAUACAAUAAUUCAUAUUUUAUGGUAAUGACAUUGGUGGAUAGGCAUCACAUUUGAUAACAAGUCAAUCAUCUCGGUAAUGUCUGCAAAAAGAUCAACUAUAUGUAGAUACAGAAGAAGUACGUACGAAGUUAGUGCUCAUGAGAAGUGCUAAUCAGUUUUAAAGUUUGAUUAAAAUCAAGAUCAGGACAAACAUACUCUCAGUAAUUUCUGUGUAAUGAUGUUCACUUCAGCUCUCAAAUGAUAGUUUUAUGUAUGCAUAUUUAAAACAUAUUUAGUUUCUAGGUACUUUUCCAUGAAACAAGUGCCAAAAAGGCUGCUUCCGGUUUCAAAGUCACUUCCGGUUGAUUUUUUCAAGAUGACAUGUCAACUAAUAGUUUGUAAAAGAC
rnacentral:lncRNA from 1 species